AUCUGCAUGACUCUUGUGCCUCUUAAUUUGUCCUUGAAGUUCUGUAUCUAAUCAUUAGCUGAGCAACCAAUAAUUCUCCUUCAGUCCCCCACCCCUUUUUACAAACAACUUUAAUCUUUCGACUCAGUGAAAAACAUGUUUCCCCUAUCAUAACUGGUUUAACAAAAUUCUCUUUCAAGUUUAGAUUGCUCAGAUACAAGGCUUUCCUGCAGCUUCAUGCUAGAGAAAGGAAUUUACAUUAGAAAAGAGAUUUAUGAUAGCAUUGAAUUUCCAUUUGAAUAUGGAGAGUUAAUAACAUGCAUAUGUUUUUUUUUAUUAUUAUUUUAAGGUUUAAACGACGCCAUAGGCAAGGGGAAAGCUGGAAACUGCGGGGCUGGCAGGACUCAAUGAAUAAUUUAAUCUGGAUUUCAUUCACAAACAGCAGCUCACUCCUAGGGAAAGGACCGGUGCGCUUCCCCAGAUCGGAACUGGGAUGUACCCGCAAAGAGACACCAAAGAGCCUGUUGGUGCGGCCCUACAGACUGCUGGAUGGCCAGGAGCAUUCUCGGAAUCAUCUACUGAAAUAGUGACGCCAUGAAUCAAGAUGAUGUUUAGCUAUUGCGAAAUGUCAUUUCACAGCCUUCACCUACUCACUUAAGUAACUGUGGGGAUGCCUCCCUUUUAGAAGGCCAAAAUGGACUCCCUUCUGUGACCUCCUGCAAAGGUCUUCAUUUCGAGAGAAGACCAGAUGCAGGCAUCUUACCUGAGAGAGCUUUCCCCAUCUCUGUGGAUACAGCAGAUAUUCAGCGUGACCCUCAGAUUUCUCUACUGUUGGGCUAACCUAGGGUCCGCACAGAGGAACCACGUAUUGGUUCGAAGACGGUCCCAGUGCUGCGGGCACUGGCGGUGCUGAAGAUGGGAUGGUUUCCAUGCAGCAAGCACACGUGCUGGUGUUGCCCUAUGAUUGCCGGCAGGCCGAGCAGUCUGCGCUGCCAGGCACUUGACAGUCAUCUAAGUCCUGGUAGACCGUAUCGCCUCCCUAGCCGGGAAGACUUUUCCUCUCACACGAGAAGUGCACCUGCCUCUUUCUCUGUGAGCUGGCAAUGCUGAGAGGCUGCAAAGGCUUCUGCAGAGCUCUAGUCUCAAUUCAACCACUUCCUAGACAUCACUGCUGAAUCCAGGCUUUCCUGUACCUCCAGUAUCUUCAUGGAACCUUCUAGCCCCACCCUACACUCGCUGUUCAUUUGGACUUCCCUAGCUCUGUAACAGUGUCACUUAGUCACCCAGACUCUGAAGCUCAGGGUAAGAUUUUCCCUCUUUCCUAUACUGUCCCUGCCUCCUAUGUUCCCCUCCCCAAGCACACAAUCAAUUAGUCAUCAAGCCGUAUCUGUCCCCACCCAGCUCUAUUGCGAGGAACCAAAUUGCUAAAAUCAGAUUUUGGAAUAAAUUUCCAACUAGUUUGCCCACAUUCAGGCUCUCUGUCCUUGAUACCACUAUCAGAUUAAAGUUGUGAAUCAAUUCCUUC